UACAGAGGGGGCAAGCGUUGUUCGGAAUUACUGGGCGUAAAGGGCGCGUAGGCGGCCUGCUAAGUCGAACGUGAAAUCCCUAGGCUCAACCUAGGAACUGCGUCCGAUACUGGCAGGCUUGAAUCCGGGAGAGGGAUGCGGAAUUCCAGGUGUAGCGGUGAAAUGCGUAGAUAUCUGGAGGAACACCGGUGGCGAAGGCGGCAUCCUGGACCGGCAUUGACGCUGAGGCGCGAAAGCGAGGGGAGCAAACGGG
rnacentral:rRNA from 1 species